AUUGAACACUGGCGGCAGGCCUAACACAUGCAAGUCGAGCGGGGUUUUCGGACCUAGCGGCGGACGGGUGAGUAAUGCGUAGGAAGCUACCCGAUAGAGGGGGAUACCAGUUGGAAACGACUGUUAAUACCGCAUAAUGUCUACGGACCAAAGUGUGGGACCUUCGGGCCACAUGCUAUCGGAUGCGCCUACGUGGGAUUAGCUAGUUGGUGGGGUAAUGGCUCACCAAGGCGACGAUCCCUAGCUGGUUUGAGAGGAUGAUCAGCCACACUGGAACAGAGACACGGUCCAGACUACUACGGGAGGCAGCAGUGGGGAAUAUUGGACAAUGGGCGCAAGCCUGAUCCAGCCAUGCCGCGUGUGUGAAGAAGGCCUUCGGGUUGUAAAGCACUUUCAGUAGGGAGGAAGGGUGUUGUGUUAAUAGCACAGCAUUUUGGCGUUACCUACAGAAGAAGCACCGGCUAACUCUGUGCCAGCCGCCGCAGUAAAAC
rnacentral:rRNA from 1 species